AGAGGGAUAGCUGGUUCAAAUGGUGGUUCCAUUCCAAGUUUCCUAAGAAAUAUCUAUAGUGCUUUUCAGAUUGGUUGCACCGAUUUGCCAUACCAUGAGCAAU
rnacentral:pre_miRNA from 1 species